ACGAACGCUGGCGGCGUGCUUAACACAUGCAAGUCGAACGGAAAGGCCCUGCUUUUGUGGGGUGCUCGAGUGGCGAACGGGUGAGUAACACGUGAGUAACCUGCCCUUGACUUUGGGAUAACUUCAGGAAACUGGGGCUAAUACCGGAUAGGAGCUCCUGCUGCAUGGUGGGGGUUGGAAAGUUUCGGCGGUUGGGGAUGGACUCGCGGCUUAUCAGCUUGUUGGUGGGGUAGUGGCUUACCAAGGCUUUGACGGGUAGCCGGCCUGAGAGGGUGACCGGCCACAUUGGGACUGAGAUACGGCCCAGACUCCUACGGGAGGCAGCAGUGGGGAAUAUUGCACAAUGGGCGGAAGCCUGAUGCAGCAACGCCGCGUGCGGGAUGCCGGCCUUCGGGUUGUAAACCGCUUUCGCCUGUGACGAAGCGUGAGUGACGGUAAUGGGUAAAGAAGCACCGGCUAACUACGUG
rnacentral:rRNA from 1 species